AGAAACAAAGCAGGGGUGGGCAGGGCCCAGGCCAGGCUGGCCCAGCAGCAGGGCCGGGCAGGCAGCCCUGGCCAGCAGUGGGACACACGUCUGCCUGGCCCGGGGUGCGGAGGAAAGCAGGACAAGCAGAAGCCUCAGGUGGCCACGUUUGCCUCCCUCCUUGGCAGGAGGGCUGCAGGGAGCCCGAGGCCUCUGGAAACGCUGGACGUGCGGCCCGGCUCUAGCAGGGCAGGCACCUGCGGCCGCAGUAGCGGCCACCGAGGCCAGAGAGCCGGGCCGCACGUCCAGCGAGUGCCUCCCCAGGCCAAGUGUCCCCUGGAGCUGCUGGCCAGCGUUUCCAGAGGCCUUGGGGGUCCCUGCAGCCCUCCUGCCAAGGAGGGAAGGAGGGAGGUGCUGUCUGGUCUCGUGGCCAGCCUGUUUUCAACUCUUUUGAAGAGUUUCCUUGUCUCUGAUUUUGCAUUUCACGGUGGUUUCAUGCUGUGAUUGCCAGCAGUCAGUGGAGGGCUUUUAUUGAGGAAUUAAUGAAAGGUGGAGUCUUGCUUUCUGUCUCUCAGUCGGAAUGGUUUCUUUUCCCUUCAUAAAUAUAUAUUUACCCUUUGUUUUUGCUGAAUGCUACUUGACUGUUAAUCAUUAAACUGAUGUUGCAUCUGAUUUUGAGUUCCAUUGUGGUUUUUCUCUCCUUUUUACCUCCCCUUGGGGCAGAAUUAUGUGAAAAUCUAUGCAAGGAUUUCACAGAGGAAAAUGUGUAUCCAAAAGUCACCACAACUCAUCUGAUAAAAAUAAUUCCAUUGUUUUUUUACACUCUUGAGAAGCACUGAACAGGUUCUCAAAUAUAUUUCUCUUUCUGGGAUGUUUUCCCCCAAUUUGUUUAUCCCACCUCUGUAUUUAAAAGUACAAUUGUGGUGUUUAAGCUUGACAGAUUUUAGAUCUUGUCCCCUAUCUGACAUCUUUGAAACUCUUGAGAAUCUGAAUGAACAUUAAUAUGGCAGGAGGAACACUUGCCAUUGUGGCAACCAAAACAGAUCCAAUAAAAAUAAAGCCAUGAAAUAAAAUUAAUUUGAA
rnacentral:lncRNA from 1 species